rnacentral:rRNA from 1 species
CUCCUACCGGGAGGCAGCAGUGGGAAGUUUGCGCAAUGGGCGAAAGCCUGACGCAGCAACGCCGCGUGUGUGAUGAAGGUCUUCGGAUCGUAAAGCACUUUCGACCGGGAAGAAACGCUGUUGGCUAACAUCCAGCAGUCUGACGGUACCGGGAGAAGAAGCACCGGCUAACUCUGUGCCAGCAGCCGCGGUAAUUC